GAUGAACGCUGGCGGCGUGCCUAAUACAUGCAAGUCGAGCGAACCACUUCGGUGGUGAGCGGCGAACGGGUGAGUAACACGUAGGUGAUCUGCCCAUCAGACGGGGACAACGAUUGGAAACGAUCGCUAAUACCGGAUAGGACGAAAGUUUAAAGGUGCUUCUGGCACCGCUGAUGGAUGAGCCUGCGGCGCAUUAGCUAGUUGGUAGGGUAAAGGCCUACCAAGGCGACGAUGCGUAGCCGACCUGAGAGGGUGAACGGCCACACUGGGACUGAGACACGGCCCAGACUGCUCCGGGAGGCAGCAGUAGGGGAUCUUCGGCAAUGGGCGAAAGCCUGACCGAGCAACGCCGCGUGAAUGAUGAAGGCCUUCGGGUUGUAAAAUCCUGUUAUAAGGGAAGAACGACUUUAGUAGGAAAUGGCUAGAGUGUGACGGUACCUUAUGAGAAAGCCACGGCUAACUACGUGCCAGCCGCCGCAGUAA
rnacentral:rRNA from 1 species